UCGACAAGCAUCUUAGGGAACCAUGCUGUCUAUCAUCAUAGCGGUAUUCCUCGUGCUCUGCAACGUAGGGACCUCUUCCCCGAGGCUGACCACAGAACUGCCAGGGGCAGAAUUAUGCCUCUACUUUGCGCUGCUGGUAAGGUAUGGCCACCACUUGUCCAGGGACCGAAUGAAGUGAAGGUGGCUGUAUGCGCAGGCAGAUGGUCACCUCCGGUCAGCCCUAGGACUCCCACAGAUGAGGCCGCGGCAACACUGCGUUGCCUUCAGAGGAACUGAUUUCAACUUUUAUUCAAUAAACUUUUGAGACAGCCAUCACCCUCA